rnacentral:sRNA from 1 species
CUGUAAGAAAUGGAGACUAAAGGCUUCUAUUUAUCCAUAGAACGGAUCCAGCCCCAAUAAUCAUAUUUCAACUGUGAUUCGGAGAGGAGUGUAAACAAAAUUCAGUGUCCAUUCAACCCUUCCCUUUGCUGCA